rnacentral:rRNA from 1 species
UCAGUUCAGAUUGUAGUCUGCAACCCGACUACAUGAAGCUGGAAUCGCUAGUAAUCGCGAAUCAGAAUGUCGCGGUGAAUACGUUCCCGGGUCUUGUACACACCGCCCGUCACACCAUGGGAGUCGGGAAUGCCCGAAGUCAGUGACCCAACCGGAAGGAGGGAGCUGCCGAAGGCAGGCUCGAUAACUGGGGUGAAGUCGUAACAAGGUAAC